GACGAACGCUGGCGGCGUGCUUAACACAUGCAAGUCGAACGGAAAGGCCCUGCUUUUGUGGGGUGCUCGAGUGGCGAACGGGUGAGUAACACGUGAGUACCCUUCCCUUGACUUUGGGAUAACUUCAGGAAACUGGGGCUAAUACCGGAUAGGAGCUCCUGCUGCUUGGUGGGGGUUGGAAAGUUUCGGCGGUUGGGGAUGGACUCGCGGCUUAUCAGCUUGUUGGUGGGGUAGUGGCUUACCAAGGCUUUGACGGGUAGCCGGCCUGAGAGGGGGAACGGCCACAUUGGGACUGCGAUACGGCCCAGACUCGUACGGGAGGCAGCAGUGGGGAAUAUUGCACAAUGGGGGGAAGCCUGAUGCAGCAACGCCGCGUGCGGGAUGACGGGCUUCGGGUUGUAAACCGCUUUCGCCUGUGACGAAGCGUGAGUGACGGUAAUGGGUAAAGAAGCACCGGCUAACUACGUG
rnacentral:rRNA from 1 species